GAUGAACGCUAGCUACAGGCUUAACACAUGCAAGUCGAGGGGCAGCAUGUCGGUUGCUUGCAACCGACGAUGGCGACCGGCGCACGGGUGAGUAACGCGUAUCCAACCUACCCUUGUCCAUCGGAUAACCCGUCGAAAGGCGGCCUAACACGAUAUGCGGUUCUCAGCAGGCAUCUAACGAGAACGAAAUGUGAAGGAGAAGGAUGGGGAUGCGUCUGAUUAGCUUGUUGGCGGGGUAACGGCCCACCAAGGCGACGAUCAGUAGGGGUUCUGAGAGGAAGGUCCCCCACAUUGGAACUGAGACACGGUCCAAACUCCUACGGGAGGCAGCAGUGAGGAAUAUUGGUCAAUGGACGGGAGUCUGAACCAGCCAAGUAGCGUGCAGGAUGACGGCCCUAUGGGUUGUAAACUGCUUUUAUAGGGGGAUAAAGUGUGCCACGUGUGGCAUAUUGCAGGUACCCUAUGAAUAAGGACCGGCUAAUUCCGUGCCAGCAGCCGCGGUAAUACGGAAGGUCCGGGCGUUAUCCGGAUUUAUUGGGUUUAAAGGGAGCGUAGGCCGUCUUAUAAGCGUGUUGUGAAAUGUCGGGGCUCAACCUGGGCAUUGCAGCGCGAACUGUGAGACUUGAGUGCGCAGGAAGUAGGCGG
rnacentral:rRNA from 1 species